rnacentral:rRNA from 1 species
GAUGAACGCUGGCGGCGUGCCUAAUACAUGCAAGUCGAGCGAACAGACGAGGAGCUUGCUCCUCUGACGUUAGCGGCGGACGGGUGAGUAACACGUGGAUAACCUACCUAUAAGACUGGGAUAACUUCGGCAAACCGGAGCUAAUACCGGAUAAUAUAUUGAACCGCAUGGUUCAAUAGUGAAAGACGGUUUUGCUGUCACUUAUAGAUGGAUCCGCGCCGCAUUAGCUAGUUGGUAAGGUAACGGCUUACCAAGGCAACGAUGCGUAGCCGACCUGAGAGGGUGAUCGGCCACUGGGGAACUGAGACGCGGUCCAGCCUCGUAAGGGAGGCAGCAGUAGGAAAUCUACCGCAAGGGGCGAAAGCGUGACGGAGCAACGCCGCGUGAGUGAGGAAGGUCUACGCAUCGUAAAACUCUGUUAUUAGAGAAGAACAAAUGUGUAAGUAACGAUGCACGUCUGGCCGGAACCUAAGCAGAAAGCCCGGGCUAACUCCGG